GCCUACGGGGGGCUGCAGUGGGGAAUAUUGGGCAAUGGGCGAAAGCCUGACCCAGCGACGCCGCGUGGGGGAAGAAGGCCUUCGGGUUGUAAACCCCUUUUGCAGGGGACGACACAGGACGGUACCCUGCGAAUAAGCCACGGCUAACUCUGUGCCAGCAGCCGCGGUAAGACAGAGGUGGCAAGCGUUGCUCGGAUUCACUGGGCUUAAAGGGCGCGUGGGUGGUUUUGUAAGUCUAAGGUGGAAUUCCACAGCUUAACUGUGGGACUGCCUUUGAUACUGCAAGGCUUGAGUCAGGCAGAGGAGGGCGGAAUUCCCGGUGUAGCGGUGAAAUGCGUAGAUAUCGGGAGGAAGGCCUGUGGCGAAGGCGGCCCUCUGGGCCUGCACUGACACUGAGGCGCGAAAGCGUGGGGAGCAAACAGGAUUAGAUACCCCAGUAGUCG
rnacentral:rRNA from 1 species